GAUGAACGCUAGCUACAGGCUUAACACAUGCAAGUCGAGGGGAAACGACAUCGAAAGCUUGCUUUUGGUGGGCGUCGACCGGCGCACGGGUGAGUAACGCGUAUCCAACCUGCCCACCACUUGGGGAUAACCUUGCGAAAGUAAGACUAAUACCCGAUGAUAUCCCUAGACGACAUCUGAAAGGGAUUAAAGAUUUAUCGGUGAUGGAUGGGGAUGCGUCUGAUUAGCUUGUUGGCGGGGUAACGGCCCACCAAGGCAACGAUCAGUAGGGGUUCUGAGAGGAAGGUCCCCCACAUUGGAACUGAGACACGGCCCAGACUCCUACGGGAGGCAGCAGUGGGGGAUAUUGGUCAAUGGGGGCAACCCUGAACCAGCGACGCCGCGUGAGGGAAGAAGGUCUUCGGAUUGUAAACUUAUUUUGUCAGGGAAGAAAUAAAUGACUGUACCUGAAGAAAAAGCACCGGCUAACUACGUG
rnacentral:rRNA from 1 species